rnacentral:lncRNA from 1 species
CAUAACUCAGACCAUAACAGAAAUCAAUUAACCUAGCAGAGCAAUUAACAGGAUUUCACAACAGGGAAAUGUCACCAUUUUUCAUUUUAACUAAAUUUCAUCUUAACUGAAUCUAAAACUAACCAUAACUAAAGGUUAACAAAAGUUAUAACUAACUCUUUAACAGCAUAACGGAUAUCACAUACCAACCUUCAACUUGAGUUCCACAUCACCCAACAGAUCCUAAGUAAUAACUAAAACUAACCUAGCAUUGCAUUUAACAAAAUUUCAUCCAAAUCUAACAUAAUUCCUAACUAAUUUCUCACGAAUCCCAUCAUUUAACAAAGUUAUAAUGUGUAAUAAACUUCAACAAGGAAUUACUAACAGAGUUAACUCUGUUAACGUUUGAACCCCUAUAUAAUUAAUCCUCAUUGCAAUUUCAUGGGGAAUUUCACAAUCACAAAUCAGUUUCAGAAAACUCUCAUUCUCAAUCUCUGCGUCACUUUCACUCAUCUCUCAAUCCUCUCCAUUCUCCCACGCCCACAACACACACAUAGGGGAUCAAUCAUCAACGACAAGCUCAAAUUGAGAAGGCCAGUUGGGCCUUAGAGCGCCCCUGGCCCAUCCAAGUCACUAUUCACACCUUGGUUUUCAGCAAUAAACCCUUUUUUUUAUUAUUUGUUGCUUUUACAUUUCAUUUUUAUCAUUUUUU